rnacentral:rRNA from 1 species
UCCGUAGGCGGGCUAAUAAGUCAGGGGUGAAAUCCCACAGCUCAACUGUGGAACUGCCUUUGAUACUGUUAGUCUUGAGUUAUAUGGAAGUAGAUAGAAUGUGUAGUGUAGCGGUGAAAUGCAUAGAGAUUACACAGAACACCGAUUGCGAAGGCAGUCUACUACGUAUAUACUGACGCUAAUGGACGAAAGCGUGGGGAGCGAACAGGAUUAGAUACCCUGGUAGUCC